rnacentral:ncRNA from 1 species
AUAAAUGCAAUGAAGGAGAACGACUUUUGCAGAAAAGCUUUUUCAGAGAAUUAGCGGAUGGUGAGAGCUAAUAAGCUAGCAAAUAGUAAAUCACUCCAGAGCAGUGUUUCCUAAAGAGUUUUACUUUGAGUAAGAAACGACCGGAAGCCCCGUUAUAGGCAAGGGUUUGAUAGAACCUAGUGAGUGGACUUUUUGUAUUUGUUUUUUAAUUUAAAGAGUCAAGAUGGGUGGUAACACGUGGCAUAUACCUCGUCCUAUUG